UGCUAUUUUAAAACAAUGUUAAAUGCCAAC
rnacentral:piRNA from 1 species